AGAGUUUGAUCAUGGCUCAGGAUGAACGCUAGCGACAGGCUUAACACAUGCAAGUCGAGGGGCAACGGGGGUGAGCAAUCAUCUGCCGGCGACCGGCGCACGGGUGAGUAACACGUAUGCAACCUGCCCGUCACAGGGGGAUAAUCGAGAGAAAUCUCGUCUAAUACCGCAUACACUCUUCGGGAGGCAUCUCCGGGAGAGGAAAGAUUAAUUGGUGACGGAUGGGCAUGCGGGACAUUAGCUAGUUGGCGGGGUAACGGCCCACCAAGGCGACGAUGUCUAGGGGUUCUGAGAGGAAGGUCCCCCACACUGGUACUGAGACACGGACCAGACUCCUACGGGAGGCAGCAGUGAGGAAUAUUGGUCAAUGGGCGAGAGCCUGAACCAGCCAAGUCGCGUGAGGGAAGACGGUCCUACGGAUUGUAAACCUCUUUUGUCGGGGAACAAAAGGCGCCACGCGUGGUGUAUAGAGUGUACCCGAAGAAAAAGCAUCGGCUAACUCCGUGCCAGCAGCCGCGGUAAUACGGAGGAUGCGAGCGUUAUCCGGAUUUAUUGGGUUUAAAGGGUGCGCAGGCGGCGGAUCAAGUCAGCGGUCAAACUUCGGGGCUCAACCCCGUUUUGCCGUUGAAACUGAUCGGCUGGAGUCUGUUCGAGGGACGCGGAAUGCGAGGUGUAGCGGUGAAAUGCAUAGAUAUCACGCAGAACUCCGAUUGCGAAGGCAGCGUCCCGGGGCGGCACUGACGCUGAGGCACGAAAGUGUGGGUAUCGAACAGGAUUAGAUACCCUGGUAGUCCACACAGUAAACGAUGAAUACUAACCGUUCGUCCCGUUAAGGGGUGGGUGGUAAAGCGA
rnacentral:rRNA from 1 species